ACACACACACACACACACACACACACACACACAGCUUUUUUUUGAAGCACGUUUCAUGUAUAAAAUAUUGCUUGUUAGUGGCACUAGGUAGUGAGGCUGCUAACAUGUAAUUGCAGACAUCUCAGAUUUUGGAAAAAUUAAUUCAUUGGAUAUAUGCCCUUCUUUGCAGUAGGAUUCAGUAUUAGUUGUGCAUUAAUUUCUUGUAGGGAACUUAAAAAAAAAGUUUUAAUGGUGUGUUGGUACGCCAGAUAUCUGAGGAGAAAAAAGUCCUGAUUUGUAGCAUUUGAAGAUCUCCAUGGGUUGAAUACUUGCAGCAUCGUGGAUUUCAGGCCACCAGAGUGGUGUCCCUGAAUGCAGAGAGGGGAGAGAUGAGCACAAGUGGCUGUCAGGAGCCACUCCCGCACGCCAGGGCUCGACCGGAUCCCAUCCCAAGCCAAUUAAAACAGAAUCUUAGUGCAAAACUGAACUAAAGCUUUGCAUUUCACAGGAACAACCUGUGUUGAAGUAUUAGAUAACUCUUGGCUUCAUGGAUUCUUCAGGUCCAUGAUUGGAAAACAGAAAAUGCUGCAGAAAAUAAAUUACACUCAGAGAAGGGAAACAUGCCCAUUACCUUACUUUUCUCCCCUUUCGUAUAUAGUGAGGAGAGUGGUAGAAAGGUUUGGAAUCUUACUUUGUCAUUUAAGACAUUUGGACAAUAGUUUAAACAUAAAUUCAAGGACUUACUUUAUAUGAAACUCAUAGCUUAAAGGACGGAGGAGGUAUUUUGAACUUAAAAAAAAAAAUCUCAGAAUCCUUUUUUAAAACCACAGUCUUAGAAUGAUGUCCCAUUACACAACAAUUUAAGAAUGACUAGUCUUCCCCCUGUCUCCAACUUGUGUGACUCUGGGUGGUCCCUGGACUGUGUGUUUGGGGAGGGUGGGAUAGCAUAUUUCAUGGAACCUCAAAGACUUUUAGGAACCCAUUUUGAAAACCAUUUAUGCAUUCCAUUAGGCUGUUUGAGUGCUCAUAAAGCAAGUUGACAAAGAACUAAGUAAUUUGGUUGCUACUUGAGGCAGGAUGAGUCACAGAGAAUUGUGAUGAGAGGCUGGAAAGAACCUUAUGAUGCAAAGGUGACACGGAGGACUGGAAUCAUAAUAAUGACAAAGAUGCUGAUGUUAAAGUAGUUAACAUUUCUCAGGUGCUUACAGAUGUUGUAGAGGUUUAUGUGAAUUUUUUUUACAUGAAGAGUUUUACAUGAAUUAAUCAAUGUCGUCUUCUCCACAAUUCUAAUGAAAUGGAUACUGUUAUUUCUAUAAUAUGGAUGAGGAAAUGAGGCACCGAUUGGCUGAUUUGUCUAGGUUUGCAUGGCUAGUAAAUGGAGAAUCUGCUAUAUUCAGACCAUAGCUGUCCAGUACGACAUAUAUGUGACAACUUCACUAUAUUACUCUGCUGCCUUUUCCUAAGUGCUUAUAAAUGUUUCUCACAUUCUAUCAAAUACUUUCUCUAUGAUCUUUCGCUUCUUCAACUUGACAACAAUCGUCUAAGGUAGAGAAUGAUAAAUGAGGUUCAGAGUCCAAAGUCACUCAACAAUAAUGGGUGUUGCUUUGAUUCAAACCUCAAUAUUUCUGGCUGCCAAGCCCAUUCUCAUUGGGUCUUUACUGAUGUCUCUAGUAGAUGUGUCUCAACCUUUGAAGCCUGGCACAUUUACCUUAUUAUAAAUUUCCUUGUUUUAUAACCAGCCCAAACUACCAGACUACAAACAGCUUGAUAAUAUGAACUGUUCACUUUGCCUAUAGCUUUAGUAAGUGUUUAUCAAAUUGAAUAAUGGACAGGACAUUAGAACAGUGCAAGUAGGAGCGGUCAGCACCUCAGAAGGAAGAUGGAACCAGGAAGACAAUGAGGAGAGAGAGUGAGAUUUUAAAGGAGGAGUCCGACCCACUAAACUGUAACGAUGCUGGAAUUGAAUCAAAGCGGAUCUUCAUUUGGGGGCAGCAAAUAAACUGCCAUCCUCGCCACCUUAUCUUUGGAUGUUAUUUGAACAUCGGGGUUGAUUCCAAGCAGGUUUAUUGCUUAAACUUAUAUUGUGAAAUUGUUAAAACACCAUAUAAAAUGAUCAUCUUUAAAAAACAAUAAUAAAAUAAGAUAAAAUAAAGAAGGAGCCUAUUGGAUAGGAUUCUACUACAAGGGGAAUGGCUUCUUAAAGGAGGGGAGGGGUACUAAUGCAAAAUAGGACAGGAUGUUAGGUCUUUGGCAAAUAUUUGCAAGACAACUCUCAUGUUUUCUUCCUUUGUGCCCUUUAGCUUUUUAUCCUAAUUAGUAUUUAAAGAAGUUGAAUGCAUUCAACCCAACUUUUGAAUUCAUUUCCCUGUAUUCAAAAUCUUGUUUCACUUUUAAGAACUGUAAAUGAGAUUAGUAGGAAGAGGCUUAUUUUUAUUUAUUUAUUAUUUAUUUAUUUUAAGACAACCAGUAUCUCUGAGAGCUGCCAUAUCUUUUGAAUGAUUAUCAAAAGAGAAACAAAAAAACAAAAAACAAAAAGAGCUGGCAACUGGGCUACGGUGCUGUUAAGCAAAAGUCAGAAUGCCAUUACUUAUCAGACUGAUCAAGAAAAAAUGGGAGACUCUCAAAACAGGUCUUUAUAACCAACCUGCCCUCUCCUUACACCACCCCCCUAAAAUACCAACAACUGGGCAGGCUAAGAGGCCACCCAAAGGAAAACAUUUCUGGUGAACUUUAGUCAUGAAUUUCACCCUUCUAUUGAGUUAUAGAUACAAGUUGUUAAAAUACCCUAAUUUAGGGCUCCUAUAUAAAGUGUAGGGCAGCUAAGUAAAUUUGGAUUUCAGAUAAGCAACAAAUAAUAUUUUAGUAUAAGUAUGUCCCAUGCAAUAUUUGGGAUAUACAUCCACAAAGCAUUAUUCAUUGUUUAUCUGGAACUCAGAUUUAAAUGGGCAUCCUGUAAUUUCAUUUGCUAAAUCUGGCAACCCUACUCUAACUAGAUUUGUUCUUAAUACAUGUGAGAUUGUCAUAGAACAGAAACUUUUAUAUCUUUGUAAGAAUAUAUUUUGUAUAUUUAUAAAAAUAACUAAAUUCUAAUUAUGUUAGGAAAACAAACCAAAAACGACUAGGAAAAUAAACUUGCAUAUGCCAUGACUUUCAAAGUGAUUUUAGUAACAGAAAUUCCUUCUCGUUUUUAAAGAGAAAUUGCAGCUACAUGGAAAUUGGUUUUAAGCCUUAGAUGGGUACUCCCAAGGCUUUUAGUUGUAGACUAAAUGAAAUUCAUUUGUUAUUGCAAUUCUACCUUGCUAUUAACACAGGCAUUAGGAAAGCCGUGGCCGCUCAGGGGAAUGUAAACAGAUUGAGCGCACAUGUUUACAGUAUCGACAACAGCUGAAUGUCACCAUCAGGAGAUCGUCACUUGUCAGAGCAUGAUGCUAAUAUACAUCCAACCACCAGCAAAUCACAAGUAGUCAGGCACUGGUCAGAACUGAAGUUGGAUGCACCUAACAAGUUCAAGACCAAGCACCUUGUGUUUCAAAUGGAAGGUUUUCUUUUUUUUUUUUUUUUUCCAUUUUUAUUACUCCAGAGAAUUUGCAUAAAGCUAGUGAUUAUAUGGAAGCGCGUGUAAAGCUUUCUUAAAAUAUACAGUGAUUGAACCGGAUUUUUAAUGAUGCUCUUAAUGGAAAUCAAGUAAAUUUCAGUGGCCACAAGGACAUUAACCAUCCUUGAGUAUUUUGUUGGUUGAAAUCAUAAUGCAAAACCAGAAUAUCUUAAAUGGUAAUUUUCUACAGACUCUCUGUUUAAGGCCUGCUUUCAAGCAGUUAUAAAUUUUAUAAUUAUAUAGCUAGUUAUAAGCCAUUAAGUUAAAAUUAAACUAUUGAGUUAAAUAUCUUUAUUAUUUUCUGUUUAUGAUUUUGGUUGGUAGCCUAGCGUCUAUGUUUCUCAAUUAAGGUCCAUCAUAUUAUUGACCACAUAUUCAGCACCUGCCCAGUGUUUUACUUUGUUUCCUCAGAAAAUACAGCGACUUUUUGUGGUUUGAUUUAUUGUACAGAUGAGGGAAGGAAGGGUGCCCAAAGAUUCAGGGCUGCUAGUUGCCAUCAUUAGCCUUCAAAUAGAGUCCUUGCUCAAGCCCAUGCAGGGUUCACUAACUACACCACACUACUGUUAAAAUACAUUAAUUAAUUAUUGGCAUUAUUUCUCUAAGACUUAAAUAUGCUUCAUUUAUAAUUCCAAGGCAUUCAGUGGUCAUUUAGCCUUUAAAAAUAUAAUCUUUUAAUACCCUUAUCAUAAAAAUUCUACCAUAGUUCCCUCUUCUUUUAUCACAGAAUCCAGCCAUUUAUCCUUUCCUCUCUCCUCCUUUCCUUCCCACUCCCUGUUUCUUUCCUUUUUCCCUCUUUAGACAGAUGUCCUUUGACCAGCAUGUGGUAGACACUUGAGAUACAAAGAUGAAAGGGGGGAAUAGAAAGAAAAUAACAAAAUUUAAUACAAUAUUAAAGUUAGAAGUAAAUAAGUGUGGGAACACAGAAUAAGGAGCGACUGGAGACUUAUGACAGGUUUCGAAGGAGGGUCUUUAUUUGAGCUAUUGAAAAGAUAUUGAAUGCAUCAGAGUUUUCUGGUGGAGAAGGGGAGGGAGGGGCUCUAGAACAACAUGAAAAGUGUGCAAAGACACAGAGGAAUAACUUAGAAAUUUUGUGUGGCUGUAGUGUCACUGCACUGAGAAAAACGCAUGAAGUAGCCCAGUUGUGAAGGUCUUUGUAGGAGAGAGUCUGAUGUUGUCCCUUGGGCUAUGAAGAGCCAGUGGAUUUUUCUAGUACUUAGGGUUGGAGGCAUUGGGAAGCCCCGUUAGUGAUCACACAGUAGUCUUCAAAGCCAUGGCUGGGGUCAGAACCAAGACUUUGGGGAUGGAAGGUGGAUGAAUUCAGUAGACCUUGCUGAAGUGGAAUUAUGAAUAAAGAAUUGUACAUGACAGUACAAUUUGUAUUACUUGACAUCAGGAAAUGAGGUAUUAUUCUACACUGAUGCACUUUUCAUAUGAUCAAAACACAUCUCUGCAAUACAGGCAUAUUAUUGUGACCUUUCAACUAGAACUCUUUAAAAGCUAUAGUUUUCAAACUUAGUUGUUAAACUCACAAAGGGUCUCAGGUCUUUGGAGGAAACUGAAGAUGAUGUAGGCAUUUCUGGAUUCAGAGGCUCUCAGUUUGCACAACUUGCUUUUGUAUGCACAAAAGCCCAGCACAGAGUUCCAUGACCUCUUCUGUUUCUUAAGUCAUGUUGGUUUGACUACCUCUGAUUAUGCCCCAGAAAAGCACAUAAGCAGAUGUCUUUAAAAGUAAAUGUGUCCAAGACAGGGGCUUGGGACGAUUGUGUGAUAUUCAUGCCCUUAGUGUUGGGUCUUUGUGACGGGAUUUUGAGCGCUCAUUGGACUUUCUGCUUACUUUGGGGUUUGAAGUGUGAAUAGUUUUUAUAUUUCUGACCUUUGCAUAAUUUAGGUGUACUCUAUCAUAGUAAACAUUUUAAGCUUUA